UACUACGGGAGGCAGCAGUGGGGAAUAUUGGACAAUGGGCGAAAGCCUGAUCCAGCCAUGCCGCGUGUGUGAAGAAGGUCUUCGGAUUGUAAAGCACUUUAAGUUGGGAGGAAGGGCAGUAAGUUAAUACCUUGCUGUUUUGACGUUACCGACAGAAUAAGCACCGGCUAACUUCGUGCCAGCACCCGCGGUAAUACGAAGGGUGCAAGCGUUAAUCGGAAUUACUGGGCGUAAACCGCGCGUAGGUGGUUCGUUAAGUUGGAUGUGAAAGCCCCGGGCUCAACCUGGGAACUGCUUCCAAAACUGGCGAGCUAAAGUAUGGAAGAGGGUGGUGGAAUUUCCUGUGUAGCGGUGAAAUGCCUUAAUAUAGCAAGGAAAACCAGUGGCGAAGGCGUCCACCUGGGUUAAUACUGAACACCGAAGGUGCGAAAAGCGUGGGGGAGCAAAAAGGAUUAAAUUCCCCU
rnacentral:rRNA from 1 species